AUACCAGCUUUGAGUGUGUGGUGUUUCUGUCUCAGAUCAGGAAGUGGCCCGGCGGUGUUCUCACACUCAGGAAUCUGAAUGUCGGUGCAGAGCGGGGAGGUUCUGUUCUCCGGAUGAAGCCUGUGAAGUGUGCAGAAGAUGCUCCAGAUGUGCACCAGAUGAAGAGACGGUGAGGAACUGCACGUCCACCACCAACACCGAGUGCAAGAAGAACGCUCCCAAAUCCAGCCCUGCCUCAGAAAAGGCAGCUUGGAUCGUUCCACUGGUCGUGAUGGCUGCUGCUCUGAUAAUUGCUGUGGUGAUAUUUGCCAUGUGGAGACGUCGUAGAGCAAAAGGUAUUUCAAUCAGGAGAGACUUAGUUCG